rnacentral:rRNA from 1 species
CUACGGGGGGCUGCAGUGAGGAAUAUUGCACAAUGGGGGGAACCCUGAUGCAGCAACGCCGCGUGGAGGAUGACGCAUUUCGGUGUGUAAACUCCUUUUAUAUGUCAAGAAAAUGACAGUAGCAUAUGAAUAAGCACCGGCUAACUCCGUGCCAGCAGCCGCGGUAAUACGGAGGGUACAAGCGUUACUCGGAAUCACUGGGCGUAAAGGACGCGUAGGCGGGUUGGAAAGUCAGGUGUGAAAUCCUACAGCUUAACUGUAGAACUGCACUUGAAACUUCUAAUCUAGAGUAUGGGAGGGGGAGAUGGAAUUAGUGGUGUAGGGGUAAAAUCCGUAGAUAUCACUAGGAAUACCUAAAGCGAAGGCGAUCUCCUGGAACAUUACUGACGCUAAGGCGUGAAAGCGUGGGGAGCAAACAGGAUUAGAUACCCGCGUAGUC